rnacentral:rRNA from 1 species
CCUACGGGUGGCUGCAGUGGGGAAUUUUGCACAAUGGGGGAAACCCUGAUGCAGCAACGCCGCGUGAGUGAAGAAGGCCCUUGGGUUGUAAAGCUCUUUCGGCCGUGAAAAAGGGUAAGCGUGCUCAUACCACGUUUAUUUGAUGGUAGCGGAAGAAGAAGCACCUGCUAACUACGUGCCAGCAGCAGCGGUAAUACGUAGGGUGCAAGCGUUGUUCGGAAUUACUGGGCGUAAAGGGCGCGUAGGCGGGUUUGCAAGUCGUCUGUGAAAUCCCC